CUCGAACGUUAAACGGAAUCACUAAACUUAAAGCGUGUGUAGACAAACCAGUAAGUAUCUUGUGAAAUCCCACGACUCAACCGUGGAACUACUAGGCAUACUGCGGAUCUUAGACCAACUAGAAGCAGCCGGAACAAGCGGUGGAGCGGUGAAAUACGUAGAUAUCGCUUGGAACGCCGAAGGUGAAAACAGGCUGCUAAGGUUGCGCCGACGCUGAGACACGAAAGCCAGAAAAGCAAACAGG
rnacentral:rRNA from 1 species